rnacentral:rRNA from 1 species
AGAAUAGGACGGCGCUCCUAUUUUGUUGGUUUCUAGGAGAGCCGUAAUGAUUAAUAGGGACAGUUGGGGGCAUCCGUAUUCAGUUGUCAGAGGUGAAAUUCUUGGAUUUACUGAAGACGAACUACUGCGAAAGCAUUUGCCAAAGAUGUUUUCAUUAAUCAGUGAACGAAAGUUAGGGGAUCGAAGACGAUCAGAUACCGUCGUAGUCUUAACCAUAAACUAUGCCGACUAGGGAUCGGGCGAUGUUAUUGUAUUGACUCGCUCGGCACCUUUCGAGAAAUCAAAGUGUUUGGGUUCUGGGGGGAGUAUGGUCGCAAGGCUGAAACUUAAAGAAAUUGACGGAAGGGCACCACCAGGAGUGGAGCCUGCGGCUUAAUUUGACUCAACACGGGGAAACUCACCAGGUCCAGAUACACGUAGGAUUGACAGAUUGAGAGCUCUUUCUUGAUUGUGUAGUUGGUGGUGCAUGGCCGUUCUUAGUUGGUGGAGUGAUUUGUCUGCUUAAUUGCGAUAACGAACGAGACCUUCAUCGUUAACUAGCCCGGCUCGCCUUGGCGGGUCGCCGGCUUCUUAGCGAGACUUUUGGCUUAAGCCAAAGGAAGUUGGAGGCAAUAACAGGUCUGUGAUGCCCUUAGAUGUUCUGGGCUGCACGCGCGCUACACUGACAGAGGCAACGAGUUUCGUUCCUUGGCCGGAAGGCCUGGGAAUCUGUUGAUUGCU